CACGAACCGUGCGAACGUUAUUCGGAAUUACUGGGCUUAAAGAGUUCGUAGGCGGCGUGUUAAGUUGGGUGUGAAAUCCCUUGGCUCAACCAAGGAAUUGCGCUCAAAACUAGCAUGCUUGAGGAAGACAGGGGUAAGCGGAACUGAUGGUGGAGCGGUGAAAUGCGUAGAUAUCAUCAGGAACACCGGUGGCGAAGGCGGCUUACUGGGUCUUUUCUGAUGCUGAGGAACGAAAGCUAGGGGAGCGAACGGG
rnacentral:rRNA from 1 species